GUUCUUCUCCUUACUCCAAGAUCUAAACUCGAUUCGCUGGAAAAAGAAGCGGAAGAUUAAUUUCAUCAAUCAGUGGGAAACAACAAAUGGCUCCCUAUGGAUGUAAAACUAGUGGAUUUGUAUGGGAAUCUGGUGGUGGAAGAAAAACUACAACAGAAAGACGAACUGCCUUGAGCAUAAUGAUAUCUCCUCUCAAAGAAAUUACAUCAUUUGUCCAGCUAUCGAUCUAAUAGAUCUCCUGAAUUAUUUCACCAUAUGGGAUUCUGGUGAUGAUGAUGCCGAUGAUUAUGCACUCAUCUUUUGCAUCAUAAAAAUCAGGGUAAAUCUUCUCUGAAAUGCCUCAACAAUCAGUUCCAACAUUGAUUUCUACCAAGAAUUUUGUUCAUCAAACAUUUGAAGCAAAUAAUUGAUAAAAUCAGAAGGAUUGUUUGCAGUUAUCAGAUUACAAAAGAGGGAUUAUUAGGUUUAUGCUCAUGCUGUGGAGGAAGAUGGAGAAACACCAAAUUUAAAGUAAGAAGAGAUUAAUGUUUGAGCAAUCAAACACCAAACCUCCAGUUUAAGGUAUAUAAAAAUAGCAUUUCAACUCUAAACACAAUUCUUCACAGUUCAGGACUAGUUGCCUUGGAGUAUUGGCUUAACUGAUGACACAAGGGUUCAAGUUCACUGAGAAGAGAGUUCUGGGCUUAACAAAAACAAAGACUCUUAAUAUGAGGUGGUCUAAUACAUGUUAGGAUCUGUUUUGUAAUUGACGCCGUAUUUGAGAAUUGUUGUAAACACUCGGUGCUUCUUCAUGGUUUUCCAUAGUUCCUUUGCAAUUAUCAUUACAGCUUCUGCGAUGUCAUCCCGCCAAGCUGCAUCCAGAUCCGGCUUGUUAUUCUCCGUGCAUUUACUCGCAACAUGAGGCAGCCUGAUCCUUCCACCUUAUACUUGAAGAUUGUUUUCUGAGCUGAAAUAAGUCAAUCACCAUGCGUUUUAUCUGUUGUUGAUACUGCGUAUCUAAAGACGGCAAGAAAGAUCAUUAUUUUUGACAGAAUCACAGCAGAGAAUGCUGCGUUCUCAGGGCGAGGUAGCACUGGCUGGUUCUGGUACAAUGUACCAUUGAUGGAUUCUCUCGCCAUAUGUGUUGGCAUGCAGGCUAUCCAGCAACUUCAGACCAAGACAUCACCUUCACCACAGAUGACACAUACCGCACCAAUGGAUGUUCUCUUGGCGUGUUCUGCUAUGGAUAUGUUCCAAACUCUGACAGGGAUUCUUGAUGCAGAAGCAGAUAUGAGGGUUAUUUUGGGUGUGUACUUGCUAUAGAGUCGAUUAAGAAUCAUAGAUAUAACUUCUGGACUUGAUCCUCCAGAGAUGUGCACGUGAGAUUGGAAAGCUGUUUGAAUCCAUAUCAAGAUGACAGUUUGGUAUCUGAUGGCGCUGACUGAUUCUUCUUCCAUCUUUAAUCUGCAUUGAGUUAUUGGUGAAUCAUUUUAUGUGAAUUGUACAUCUUACUCUUGUUAAUUGCAUUUUUUAAUUACUGUACCCCGAAAUGUUUUGGUUUUUUGUAUAAAAG